rnacentral:rRNA from 1 species
GACAGAGGAUGCAAGCGUUAUCCGGAAUGAUUGGGCGUAAAGCGUCUGUAGGUGGCUUCUUAAGUCCGCUGUCAAAUCCCAGGGCUUAACCCUGGCCAGGCGGUGGAGACUACUAAGCUUGAGUACGGUAGGGGCAGAGGGAAUUUCCGGUGGAGCGGUGAAAUGCGUAGAGAUCGGAAAGAACACCAAGGGCGAAGGCACUCUGCUGGGCCGACACUGACACUGAGAGACGAGAGCUAGGGGAGCAAAUGGG